AUGGCAGACGACUCUUGGGUGCAAGAUAUCAGUCUCCGCCCAAAUGAUGACCUUGUUCACAGCUUCCUGGUCCUAUGGAGGGCGCUGCGAGCUGCAAGCCCGGUGCUGCAACCUCAUGUGGAAGACAAGAUCGCAUGGCGCACUGAGAACACCGGCAGCUACAGCGCCAAGUCAGCGUACAAACUGCAAUUCAGAGAAUGUCCGAAGACAAAUGACGAGCAGCUCAUAUGGAAAACCUGGGCUCCCGGAAACAUCAAAAUUUUCUUCUGGCUGCUCCUCCGCAACCGCUUAUGGUGCAAUGACAGAUUGCAACGCAGGGGAUGGGAAAAUGACUACUUUUGCUCCCUUUGCAGAAGAAACUUGGAAACCUCAACUCACCUGUUCUGGGACUGCCCAGUCUCCAGAGCAAUUUGGAGGCAGAUUGCAACCUGGGCUGACUGCGACAAGCUCACGCUCAUUUCAGAGAACAUCCAAGACACAACCACCUCUGUCACACGGCUGCGAAACAUUCUCCAACAGGAACGACUGAGGCUCAGAGAGAAGCUCAAGACAAUGAUUUUCCUAACUGCAUGGCACAUCUGGCAGGAGAGGAACAAUCGCACCUUCAGGCAUGAGACGAGCCCAGUAUGCAAUGUUGUCGCUGCAAUCAGGAGAGAUGCAGAAGAUUGGAAGCUGGCAGGAACCAAAUGCCUCGCGACUCCUCUGGGCGAUCCGGGCUAG
rnacentral:rRNA from 1 species